rnacentral:rRNA from 1 species
AUGCAGAAGCUACAAGCAGCGCAUCCCCAUGACAGCUUCAGAUGCAUGAAUGGAUACUCCCAUAAGAGUUGGCACCUUGUCACACAUCGUAAGCACUACAAAAUUGUGAAGGAGGUCAGCCGCCACAACACUUCAUUUGCCUGCUUGUUGCCUGCAAAAGACGAUAGCUUAAGAAAAGUGAUCACAAAGGUUGUUGACAAGAUACAUAUUAAAAUGGAUGACUUUCUUGAAGAUGGGUCACAAGAAGCUACUAUUUUGGUCAUUCAAGCACUUGCAAUAGCUGUGCCGCAUUCAACAGAUAGACUAUAUAUUUAA